GACGAACGCUGGCGGCGUGCCUAACACAUGCAAGUCGAACGGAAAGGCCCUGCUUUUGUGCGGUGCUCGAGUGGCGAACGGGUGAGUAACACGUGAGUAACCUGCCCUUGAGUUUGGGGUAACUUAAGGAAACUGGGGCUAAUAUAGGAUAGGAGCUCCUGCUGCAUGGUGGGGAUGGGAAAGUUUCGGCGGUUGGGGAUGGACUCGCGGCUUAUCAGCUUGUUGGUGGGGUAGUGGCUUACCCAGGCUUUGACGGGUAGCCGGCCUGAGAGGGUGACCGGGCACAUUGCUACUGAGAGACGGCCCAGAGGGCAACGUGAGACAGCGGGGGGAAACAUGGCACAAUGAGCCGAAGCCUGAGGCAACGACGCCGCGUUCGGAAUGACGGCCUGUGGGUAGUAAACCGCUUUCGCCUGUGACGAAGCGUGAGUGACGGUAACGGAUAAAGAAGCACCGGCUAACUACGUG
rnacentral:rRNA from 1 species